rnacentral:misc_RNA from 1 species
AAUUGCUGCCAGUUCUCACUUAAGGCAUGCCUGGCUCAUUUCAUGAGAGUACUGACGGGCAAGAGCUUUCUGCUGUACACACAAGAAAUCACCCUAAACAGAACAUAAGGAAGGCAACAUUUCCUUUCAUAGCAAGUCAUUCAGCUAUUACAAUGGACCAUAAAAUGCACAUUUAAUUCGUCUUUCCUUAACUGUAUUGAUUAUACACCGACGAGCUAGUUCUAGAAAAUUACUCAUCUAGGAGCCAAAGAUAAUAAAGAAUAUUGAAUAGCUAGAGUAGAUGUUUCCAGCAGUGUGCUUCAAAGAAUAUUAAAGAAAAAUGCACAUAUCAUUAUACGUUAUUCAAGGAUUUAUGUUCGUUUAAUUAUCAGCAAGUAUUUAA